rnacentral:rRNA from 1 species
AGGAGACUCUGAUGCAGCGAUGCCGCGUGAGUGAAGAAGGCCCUUGGGUUGUAAAGCUCUUUCGUCGGGGAAGAAAAUGACUGUACCCGAAUAAGAAGGUCCGGCUAACUUCGUGCCAGCAGCCGCGGUAAUACGAAGGGACCUAGCGUAGUUCGGAAUUACUGGGCUUAAAGAGUUCGUAGGUGGUUGAAAAAGUUGGUGGUGAAAUCCCAGAGCUUAACUCUGGAACUGCCAUCAAAACUUUUCAGCUAGAGUUUGAUAGAGGAAAGCAGAAUUUCUAGUGUAGAGGUGAAAUUCGUAGAUAUUAGAAAGAAUACCAAUUGCGAAGGCAGCUUUCUGGAUCAAUACUGACACUGAGGAACGAAAGCAUGGGUAGCGAAGAGGAUUAGAUACCCUCGUAGUCCAUGCCGUAAACGAUGUGUGUUAGACGUUGGAAAUUUAUUUUCAGUGUCGCAGCGAAAGCGAUAAACACACCGCCUGGGGAGUACGACCGCAAGGUUAAAACUCAAAUGAAUUGACGGGGACCCGCACAAGUAGUGGAGCAUGUGGUUUAAUUCGAAGAUACGCGCAGAACCUUACCAACACUUGACAUGUUCGUCGCGACUCUAAGAGAUUAGAGUUUUCGGUUCGGCCGGACGAAACACAGGUGCUGCAUGGCUGUCGUCAGCUCGUGUCGUGAGAUGUUGGGUUAAGUCCCGCAACGAGCGCAACCCUCACUUUUAGUUGCCAUCAUUAAGUUGGGCACUCUGAAAGAACUGCCAGUGAUAAGCUGGAGGAAGGUGGGGAUGACGUCAAGUCCUCAUGGCCCUUACGUGUUGGGCUACACACGUGCUACAAUGGUAUCUACAACAGGAAGCAAAACAGCGAUGUUAAGCAAAUCCUUAAAAGAUACCUCAGUUCGGAUUGCACUCU